rnacentral:rRNA from 1 species
UUACCNGAGUACUAUGAAUGUUUAAAAAUUUAAAACUCAAAGAACUUGGCGGUGUUUUAGACCACCCAGGGGAACCUGUCUCGUAAUCGAUAAUCCACGUUGUACCUGACCUCUUUUUGUUUUCAGUUUGUAUACCGUUGUCGUCAGGUAACUUUUUAGAAACUAGAAGUUAGCAAUUAAAAUGUUGGUAAUUUAAUAUGUCAAAUCAAGGUGCAGCUAAUAAAGAGGGGAGGAUGGGUUACAAUUAUAUAAUUCAUAAUGACGGAUAAGUAUAUGGAUAUGUGUUAAGUUAUAAGGAGGACUUGGAAGUAAAUUAGGAUAUAUAAAUAAUUUGAAUUAGGCUCUGAGACGUGU